CCUACGGGUGGCAGCAGUGGGGAAUAUUGGGCAAUGGGCGCAAGCCUGACCCAGCAACGCCGCGUGAAGGAAGAAGGCUUUCGGGAUGUAAACUUCUUUUAAGAGGGAAGAGCAGAAGACGGUACCUCUUGAAUAAGCCACGGCUAACUACGUGCCAGCAGCCGCGGUAAUACGUAGGGCGCGAGCGUUACUCGGAAUUACUGGGUGUAAAGCGCUCGUAGGCGGUAUGUCAAGUCAAGGGUGAAAGCCCCGCGCUCAACGUGGGAACUGCCUUUGAAACUGGCAAGCUGGAGUGUGUGAGAGGAUAGUGGAAUUCCAGGUGUAGGAGUGAAAUGCGUAGAUAUCUGGAGGAACAUCAGUGGCGAAGGCGACUAUCUGGCACAUAACUGACGCUGAGGAGCGAAAGCGUGGGUAGCAAACAGGAUUAGAUACCCGUGUAGUC
rnacentral:rRNA from 1 species